AACCACUAUGCUACAGAAACAUCUGUCUUUAGAAAGUAGCGAAACAACGGAGGAAACAUGAAUAACUUACCAUGGCCGUUAAGUUGAGCAAGUUACCGAAGUGGCUGACGGCCUUCCAUUUAUGGAUGGUAUACCAUCUGUCGGCGAGACCAAAUACGUAAACCAAAUACGUAAACCAAACGCCAAUCAGAAGUAGCAAAGCAGGCAAGGAGAUAUAAAUAUUGCACAGCAUUUGUUCUCACAUGGUGCCUUGGAAGAAAUCACCGCCAUUUAAAAAAAUUGUGUCCGGAUGCUGUUCACGAAUUUUUCGAGCUUGAUGGACCAGACGGGCAUAUCCACCGAAACAAUUGCCAUCCUCCGAGUCUCGUUGUUUGCACGCCCCACCGAGUUUGUUGGCCUCUUCGAAACGGCAAUGGAUAUCGUUAGUGUGUAGGAUAGUCAAAUUAAACGAAGCUGAUGCCUGCUUGACAACGAAAGAUACACAAAACAGACCCAACAGCCUCAACCACAUGAGUACGGUAUUACGUGUCGACCAGUCCUGCAUUUUCUGCUCAACUGUGGACAAAAUUUUGAGCGUUCAGCGUUAUAUUGCUCACCAAACUGGAAAUAGGCGUCGCCACAAGCUGUCUACUAGCUUUCGGAGAGAGGAGACUAAAUCCGAAGGACGUAACCAGCAAGAGUCAUCUCCUAUUCAAAGUGAGUGAACUUCUUUUGCCAUUUGAUAGCAAAUAAGCCGUCUGGUCCAUAUUGCAGACGAAAUCUCUCGCUGCUGAUAUCCUAUAGUUCUCGUUAGCGUGGGACUUACAUAAGCUCUUAUUAUGCAGUUUCGUCUCAUUUUAGCCUGUCAUUUUAAGAACAACUCAGUAGGUACUUGCACAGUAAAUUUGUGGCGACGACUUCUUCCUGGAAAUGAAUUUGUUUUUAAGUUUCUGUUGUAGCUUGUAACCAAUAGUAAAUUUCAAUUGGACUCUAUCGAGAAUCAAACCCUUAAUUAGCGGCACACCUAUCCCAUGCUCGACCAUUGAGCCAUGAUUCACAUUUUAUUGCUCACUAUUUCUCCAUAUGAUUUAGGCUUCCCUUCGCAGAUUCCCUUCGGGAUUCGGUUUGCUAUAAGAAGCUAGCCCAGAUGCCAAUCGUCUUGAUCCCUCUCCCUUUGAUUGCGAUUCGAGUCAACGCAUUCCAUCAUGCCAGCGAUUGCAGACGUUGUUCGACCAUUCUUUUCACAGGAUUUUAUGACUGGACUUCCUGCAAUUCCUGAUACCAUCUGUCCUAAGAGGUUGUAGACAAGAUGGCUGAAGCCGUCUUAACUGUUCCAGCAAUUUCCAAGGUCCUGUAUGACCUGACGGCGAAACCACCGGAGAAAACGGAGUGGGGAUGAUUUGAUUUACGAACGUUGCUUAGGCAAAUGAUCUCCACACUCUUUAUAGGACAAGGAUACGGAGUUUUAUCAUGACCAGACUUAGAUGGGAGAUAUUACGAACAUUGGAUUCAGUAUAGACUUUUGAAAUUAAAAAAUUUAUUAGCUUUGUCGUCUCGUGAAAAUCUCUUUAACUCGCUUUUUAAGAGGAGUUCACGUGAUGACUUGUCUAUUUCUUAAUAUACGUGCACACUUGUCGGAAA